rnacentral:rRNA from 1 species
UGGGGAAUAUUGGACAAUGGGCGCAAGCCUGAUCCAGCCAUGCCGCGUGUGUGAAGAAGGCCUUCGGGUUGUAAAGCACUUUUGUCCGGAAAGAAAAGCUCUCGGUUAAUACCCGGGGGUCCUGACGGUACCUGAAGAAUAAGCACCGGCUAACUUCGUGCCAGCAGCCGCGGUAAUACGAAGGGUGCAAGCGUUACUCGGAAUUACUGGGCGUAAAGCGUGCGUAGGUGGUUUGUUAAGUCUGAUGUGAAAGCCCUGGGCUCAACCUGGGAAUGGCAUUGGAUACUGGCUAGCUAGAGUGCGGUAGAGGGUAGUGGAAUUCCAGGUGUAGCAGUGAAAUGCGUAGAGAUCGGGAGGAACAUCUGUGGCGAAGGCGACUACCUGGACCAGAACUGACACUGAGGCACGAAAGCGUGGGGAGCAAACAGG